rnacentral:rRNA from 1 species
GGGACACGUGGUAUCCUGUCUGAAUAUGGGGGGACCAUCCUCCAAGGCUAAAUACUCCUGACUGACCGAUAGUGAACCAGUACCGUGAGGGAAAGGCGAAAAGAACCCCGGCGAGGGGAGUGAAAAAGAACCUGAAACCGUGUACGUACAAGCAGUGGGAGCCUCUUAAUGGGGUGACUGCGUACCUUUUGUAUAAUGGGUCAGCGACUUAUAUUCUGUAGCAAGGUUAACCGAAUAGGGGAGCCGAAGGGAAACCGAGUCUUAACUGGGCGUUAAGUUGCAGGGUAUAGACCCGAAACCCGGUGAUCUAGCCAUGGGCAGGUUGAAGGUUGGGUAACACUAACUGGAGGACCGAACCGACUAAUGUUGAAAAAUUAGCGGAUGACUUGUGGCUGGGGGUGAAAGGCCAAUCAAACCGGGAGAUAGCUGGUUCUCCCCGAAAGCUAUUUAGGUAGCGCCUCGUGAAUUCAUCUCCGGGGGUAGAGCACUGUUUCGGCAAGGGGGUCAUCCCGACUUACCAACCCGAUGCAAACUGCGAAUACCGGAGAAUGUUAUCACGGGAGACACACGGCGGGUGCUAACGUCCGUCGUGAAGAGGGAAACAACCCAGACCGCCAGCUAAGGUCCCAAAGUCAUGGUUAAGUGGGAAACGAUGUGGGAAGGCCCAGACAGCCAGGAUGUUGGCUUAGAAGCAGCCAUCAUUUAAAGAAAGCGUAAUAGCUCACUGGUCGAGUCGGCCUGCGCGGAAGAUGUAACGGGGCUAAACCAUGCACCGAAGCUGCGGCAGCGACACUAUGUGUUGUUGGGUAGGGGAGCGUUCUGUAAGCCUGUGAAGGUGUGCUGUGAGGCAUGCUGGAGGUAUCAGAAGUGCGAAUGCUGACAUAAGUAACGAUAAAGCGGGUGAAAAGCCCGCUCGCCGGAAGACCAAGGGUUCCUGUCCAACGUUAAUCGGGGCAGGGUGAGUCGACCCCUAAGGCGAGGCCGAAAGGCGUAGUCGAUGGGAAACAGGUUAAUAUUCCUGUACUUGGUGUUACUGCGAAGGGGGGACGGAGAAGGCUAUGUUGGCCGGGCGACGGUUGUCCCGGUUUAAGCGUGUAGGCUGGUUUUCCAGGCAAAUCCGGAAAACCAAGGCUGAGGCGUGAUGACGAGGCACUACGGUGCUGAAGCGACAAAUGCCCUGCUUCCAGGAAAAGCCUCUAAGCAUCAGGUAACAUCAAAUCGUACCCCAAACCGACACAGGUGGUCAGGUAGAGAAUACCAAGGCGCUUGAGAGAACUCGGGUGAAGGAACUAGGCAAAAUGGUGCCGUAACUUCGGGAGAAGGCACGCUGAUAUGUAGGUGAAGCGACUUGCUCGUGGAGCUGAAAUCAGUCGAAGAUACCAGCUGGCUGCAACUGUUUAUUAAAAACACAGCACUGUGCAAACACGAAAGUGGA